rnacentral:sRNA from 1 species
UACAUGUAUGGCAACUCUGUAUUUCAGUUUAUAAAUCUAUUGCUACUUGUGGAAGUAAUUUUAUAAAGGAGCAUUGGAAAGAACGGCCAUUUUAACCGUUUUACUCCGUAAUUCAGUAAGCUGCAUGCUGGCGCGAUAAAAUUUAGAACCGAUAGAAAACUCCAGAUCCUGCGACUUAAGUUGUCAAGUGUAAUUAUACGUACAAAACAUCAACUUGUAAGGCUUAGGUCCCCGAAGAAAAGAGGCCUUCAUUAAUGUAUUUGUAUGUGAUUGGUAUCCUCAAUAAAACUGGGUGACACAUGUAAUUUUGGACAUGUAAAAUACCGAUGCUAUCCGAAAGGAAACAAGAGAUCCAAACUCCGAAGCGAGACAAGAAUUUAAUGAGUGUACUAUGGCGUUUUGUAUGGAUAUUUGAUAACUAGUAAUUUGAGUUUGAUGGUCCACCCGGCUUUUGAAUGCCCUGCAUGUCGAAAUAUCUUCUGCUUAGCUGGCUAGGUGGACCUUUGAAGCCUUUAUGAAUUCGGAGGAUUGAAUUUACGAACAUUUUCGGAACUUUAAUUUGAAAAAUAUUGCAUAGCAUCUCUUCAUCUAGGAACAUGUGUGACACGCCCCCUGCUUAAACAGAUGUAAAUUUUUAUGGGGUGGAAUACAUAAAACUUGCACUAGCAGCUAUUGGCGAUUGUGAAAUAUUGGAGCCGGAAUUUAAUUUUAUGACUUUCGGGCCAUCCGGCCUAAUAUAUCUCAUUCAAAUUUACCCUUCAAAUGUUUUUUGGUGAAAUACGAAGAAUCAGUGUACCCUUCUCCUCACACGCAUAGCGACUCCCAAGGGUAUCCCUUACGACACCCAAACAAUGGCACAGGUCUUGAAUGUGCAUCUAUUUCAUUUGUUAGGUGCUUAAAAAUGUACUCUAUACCUUAUAUACUAUUAUAUGUAUCUACAGAGAUGAACUACUCUCUAAAGAUUCUUUUCUCUCAAUUUUCAUUUCUUUUCAUAGCGAGAGAGAGAGUAACAUGUAUUAAUAUGUAGCUUAAGUGAACGUAAGUAAUAUUAUUAUUUAUUUCCGAAAGUUAUUUAGAAGAAAACAUUAAGUUUAUUAAAAAUGCUAUGUAGAGUAAAUCCAUGUGUCUAUAUCUUUUGGAUUUGUAUAACCAAUGUCAUUCUAGAUAAACAUAAUUAAAACGAUUGACAAAAAAAAGCAUGCUAUUAACAAAGGUAUGAAUAGAUAUAUUCUUUAGAAAAUUUAUUUUCUGUCUCCAAAAUGACAACGGUUGGUCGUGCCUUUGGUGCUUGAAUCCAAAUCGAAUUAUGUAAAUUCAGAUUAAAAGUACAUGUCAAAUCU